UACGAAGGGGGCGAGCGUUGUUCGGAUUUACUGGGCGUAAAGGGCGCGCAGGCGGUCAUUUUUGUCGAGUGUGAAAGCCCCGGGCUUAACCUGGGAACUGCGCUCGAAACGGGAUGACUAGAGAUCGGGAGAGGAGAGUGGAAUUCCCAGUGUAGAGGUGAAAUUCGUAGAUAUUCGCAAGAACACCAGUGGCGAAGGCGGCUCACUGGCCCGGUACUGACGCUGAGGUGCGAAAGCGUGGGGAGCAAACAGA
rnacentral:rRNA from 1 species